CUAGCUGAUCCAAACAGGCCC
rnacentral:miRNA from 1 species